UACGUAGGGUGCAAGCGUUGUCCGGAAUUAUUGGGCGUAAAGAGCUCGUAGGCGGUUUGUCGCGUCGAAUGUGAAAACCCGGGGCUCAACCCCGGGCCUGCAUUCGAUACGGCAGACUAGAGUUCGGUAGGGGAGUCUGGAAUUCCUGGUGUAGCGGUGAAAUGCGCAGAUAUCAGGAGGAACACCGAUGGCGAAGCAGUUCUCUGGGCCGUAACUGACGCUGAGGAGCGAAAGCGUGGGGAGCGAACAGG
rnacentral:rRNA from 1 species